rfam:Microscilla marina ATCC 23134 1099589004137, whole genome shotgun sequence.
GGUGGUAGACCCACCAAAGGCGAUUUACAGGAAUAGCCUUUAAACCACUCUACGGUGCUAUGACAGUAAUGUUUUGGUAUUGAACGGCUAGAGAAAAGGCUCCGCUGGUACGGAGUCAGGU